rnacentral:rRNA from 1 species
GACCUNCCGCGCGCUCANUGAUGCACUCAACGAGUUUACGACCUUGCCCGGUAGGGUUGGGUAAUCUUUUUAAAAUGCAUCGUGAUGGGGAUAGAUUAUUGCAAUUAUUAAUCUUCAACGAGGAAUUCCUAGUAAGCACGAGUCAUCAGCUCGUGCUGAUUACGU